CGUCAUCGUAGGGUUAGUCGGGUCCUAAGCUGAGUCCGAAAGGGGUAAGCGAUGGCAAAUUGGUUAAUAUUCCAAUACCAACUAAUAGUUUAGUACGAAGGGGGGACGCAUAGGGUUAAACGAGGUCACUGAUGGAAUAGUGGCUCGAAGGGUGUAGGUCGUGAAGCAGGCAAAUCCGCUUCACAUGAGACCGAGACCUGACAGACUUCGCGAUCGCUUCGGCGAGAGCGGAGGAUCGUCGAUACUGUCGUGCCGAGAAAAGCCUCUAAGUGAGAACGACUGUCGCCCGUACCGUAGCCCGACACAGGUGGGUGAGAUGAGUAUUCUAAGGCGCGUGGAAGAACCCUGGUCAAGGAACUCUGCAAACUAGCACCGUAACUUCGGAAGAAGGUGUGCCUAUGGUAGGUGAGGCCCUUUACGGGUGGAGCCGAUAUAGGUCGCAGCAAAGAGUCCCUCCCGACUGUUUAC
rnacentral:rRNA from 1 species